AGUAAGAUGGCUGAGCGUUCAAGCGGCGGGUUGUAGCCCCGUGCAGAGAGGUUUGACUCCUCUUCUUACUA
rnacentral:tRNA from 1 species